AAAAAAAAGCUGUGCUAAGUGCUAACUGUACAAGUUUUGUACUGAAGAAUAUCUCAAGUAUGCAUGUAUUAUGUAUAUGCCACUACCCCAAUUGCUUCAGCUUUUCUCUGAUUGCCCCCUGGUUUUUUAUCCUGUCAAACUACCUCUGGCUAACACUAAGAGGGGGCAAACUGAAGAGAGAGCCAUCUGUCACGGUCCCAACUCUCCUAUGGACUCAAGGUUGGUUAGUCCUGUCACACUACGCCGAGCCGCCGGAGGUAGUCGCCUUCGCCGCCGGUGUCCGGGCUCUGAGCCUGAUCUGGCAAAUCUCGGCGGGGCUUGGCGCGUCCUAGCGCUCGAUCCGCGCCCUGAAUGCCUCCAUCUCUGCGACGUACUCCCUGGCUCCCAUCCUCGCCACCCUCCUCCUCUCCUUGGCGGCGCCGGCGGCCGCGUCGAAGACCGCCUCCCACCCGUCCUCCCACGGGCCGGAGGCGUCGCAGAGCUCCACGUCCGUCCCGUUCCGGUGCUCGGUCCAGCUCCACCCGUACUCCAGCGCGUCGACGCUCCUCGCCGCGCACCCGGAGCGGCACGCUGGGCCGGCACUUGGUGCCGCUGAGCGGGCCGGGGCUCGCCAGCGACGCCACGGGGACGCCGUACCCGGCCACGGGCGGGAACACGUAGACGCGGUCGCUGAGGACGCAGAACGGGAGGAGGCGCUCGCGGCCCGCGACGCCAGCCACGUCGAGCUGCGCGCGGAAGGCCGCCUCGGAGUUGAGGCCGCGGUACCCCCAUACAGAACACACGACGAACUUGUUUUUGACGACCAUACAGAGCACACGAUAGACUUGAUACAACUAACUUAUCCGUUCAUAGAGCAUGAACGUAAAGACCAUAAGAUAUAUAGAUGCUUCCUAGGCCACAACACAAAAUAGCUCCUUCAGUUUUGUUGACGAGAGAUCAGGACAGAAGCCUUUCUUCAGUUUUGACCAUUUAGAAGAAAGCACGACAAGUAGGAUGAAGUACUAUUGGCAGCCGUGACUCAUUAUUCCAUAUCCUUCCUCUUCCUGCAAUAAAUAAAUAAAUAAAAAUGAACUAGAUGGAAGAUGUUCAAAUUAAACUUGCUUCUGUACUGCGACCAAGAGAAGGAUUAGCAAUGCACAGCCGAAGUAAGUUGUUUACUUAGGAAAGAAUUGCAAAAAAAACAGACAACAUUGAAGGUUAAAUGGUAGUAUACUUGACUUCCAAUUAACUGCUAGUAAUUUCCAACAGCAUAUAAAAGAAGGCAUAUAUAUAUUGGCAGGCAGCUCUUAUGUUCCAAUCAUAAGCUUCAAGGCUCAAAUGUUUAGUAGGCUGCAGGCUACGCUAGUAUUCUGCAGGUUGGAGAAAGAGGCUAUACUACAACAUAUGAGAUGCCAACAAUGCAAGAUUGAAGCCAUGGACACAAACUUUUGCAGCAAUAUUCAAAUAUGGAACCGGCCGGCAGAAUCAAAAUCUAUUGAGUUAUUUAUAAAAGGGCAUGCAGCAGCAAUAGUACAUACCUUGAUAAAUUGCAGAACCUGGGGAACUCACAAGCAGGGAAGGGCAAUGGAGAGGGAGCCAAGCACUUUGAUAUGACGAAGUCAAUGUCGACGUCGGGUUGACAGCACUUAUCGCCACGGCGAAGGAUCUCAUUCCCAUUCAUAUACAGAUAACAUGACACCAUGGUCUUGGUGCUCAUGUCAAUGGAGAGCACCGACAUCUUCUCGUAGGCUAAACCAAAAAACUCAAUGAAAAGGAAGUGCACCACAUGCGGCCUGUCAAUGUCAACUUGAGGGUGCAUGGGGAUGCCGCGUUGGUAGCAGUCAGGGAGGUCACCAGAGGUGACAGUGUAGUCCUCCUUCCACGCCAUGCUGCCGCCUGCUAACACGAGGGUGUGGCAGGUGAUGGUGAAGCCAGUGCCGGGUUUGAGCGCUUCAUAGUAAAGGCCAUCAUCGCGGGCGACCUUGACAAACUUGAGCAAACGGCCGUGGUCGACGACGGACAUGCCAGCGAUGGUGCCGCACAUGGUUAUUUUGCGGGUUCUGGUAAGAGAGGGCUUGUCCUCAGGGAACCAGAGGAAGGAGACGGUAGGGGCGAGCACUUUAUCGGACACGUCGCAGAAGAGGAUGCCUCGUUUGUAGUCGAUCCAGCACAGCCAUCGUUGGAAGGGGAUGAUGGCGGUGUUCUGCCACUGGGAGAGUUUCCAGAGAUCAUCAGCAGAGGGGUUGAGGAUUGGCACACGCAUGGACUCCCAAUUGCCGCCAAGCUGAUCGGAGGAGCGCAGCAAGCAGAUGUCAGCGAAGGCCUUGAUGCGGCUGCGGCCAAUGGUGGGUACGCAAAGAUUGAGCUGUGCCACCACGAACUCCUCUUUGUCUCCGCACCAUAGGCCCAAGGAAUGCAUAUUCAGCAGGCGGGGAGUAGCACUGGAAGAUCGACGACGAGGUAGGCGGUGAUCGCGGCGGGAAUAAUCAAACUUGGUGUCGGUACAAUGGGGGAGCAAUCUAAGCGAGGAUGAUGAGGAAGGGUUGUUCUCGUCGGCUCUGAAGAUGAAGAAGUUGUGAAUUGCAGGUUGAUCAGACAUCGGGGAGAUGACGACGAGCAGGGCAAGAUGGCGGUGGGUCUUCAGCAUGGUUAAGGGCCUCGCCUUGCGGGGACCCGGGACGCCCGGCAGCUGCGCGUAGAGGCGGGAGAUGAGCGGGGGCUCGGCGAGGGAGAAGGCGAUGCGGAAGUCGGCGCCCCAGGAGGUGGUGCCGGACGCCCUGAUGGGCGCAUGGGUCUCGUCCGGGAAGGACUCGUCGUCGUCCCUGCGGAAGACGUAGGGCUCCAGAAGCACCCAGUUGGGGAACCCCCCGGCGGCGGCGGCGGCGGCGGCGGCGGCGGACAUGGCGACCUUGAGACAGCAGCAGAUUGGGAAAUUAAAUUAGAUGAUCGGCGGACAUGGCGACCUCUGUGAGGAUAGAUCGGGGGAUUUGUAAGGUGAUGAGGUGCCUUACCGACGAAGACGCUGGAGACCCGCGACCGGCAAGGAGAGGCGGCGGCGGAGGCGGCGAGAGGUCAGGUGUGCGGGAGCGGCGAAGCGGCGGCUUCCUCCUAUGUAUCUAUCGGUCGGUUACCCACCUAUCGAAAGAAAUCGAAUGGGCCAAAUUCGUUUACUGGUGGCCCAAAUUGUUGACCCAUGCACAACAUGUCGCAUGCCGCUGAUGAUGGGCUACUUAUUUGUGUACGAGGUUGUAUGCAGUUUGGGCCAUUGGACUAGGAGUGGGCCACCCACCGAGCCAGCAUCCCGUGUGGCUUGUGAGCCGAGGCGCUGGUACCCUGCUGAUAGCCACGGUCAUUUACUGAACCCGUCCAUAUGCGCGAGCUAGCGGCGCGACGGAGCACGAGCUGCGCGGUCGCCUGUCACCGUCCGUAUGGACUCAAGGUUGGUUAGUCCUGUCACCGUCCGACAACAGACUACGCCGAGCCGCCGGAGGUAGUCGCCUUCGCCGCCGGUGUCCGGGCUAUGAGCCCGAUCCGGCAAAUCUCGGCGGGGCUUGGCGCGUCCCAGCGCUCGGUCCGCGCCCUGAACGCCUCCAUCUCCGCGACGCACUCCCUGGCUCCCAUCCUCGCCACCCUCCUCCUCUCCUUGCCGGCGCCGGCGCCGGCGGCCGCGUCGAAGACCGCCUCCCACCCGUCCUCCCACGGGCCGGAGGCGUCGCAGAUCUCCACGUCCGUCCCGUUCCGGUGCUCGAUCCAGCUCCACCCGCUCUCCAGCGCGUCGACGCUCCUCGCCGCGCACCCGGCGCGGCACGCCGGGCGGCACGGCCGGCACUUGGCGCCGCUGAGUGGGCCGGGGCUCGCCAGCGACGCCACGGGGACGCCGUACCCGGCCACGGGCGGGAACGCGUAGACGCGGUCGCUGAGCACGCAGAACGGGAGGCGGCGCUCGCGCCCCGCGACGCCGGCCACGUCGAGCUGCGCGCGGAAGGCCGCCUCGGAGUUGAGGUUGCGGUACCCCGCGGCGGCGAGGCGGGGGAGCAUGGAGAGGCGGGAGAGCGCGGCCUCCGUGGCAUGCCGGCCGCCGAAGCCCAGGCGGUCGUUGAGGCCGCCGAAGCGGGAGCCCUCCGGGACGGCGUAGUAGUGGGCGUCGUCGUUUGCGGUGGUGGCGUUGGCGGCGGGGAGGAGGUCGGCGAGGUGGAGCGGCGCGGACCAGAAGCCGUCGACGCGGGUGCGGAGGACGGCGGCGUAGGUGAAGUUGCCGCGGGACUCGCGGUCGCGGAUGAGGUCCAGGCAGCCCUCCACCAGCCGGAAGUACUGCAGCAAGCCCUGCACCAUUUUUGCAGCGACUCAUCAGCUGAUGAACCGAAUGCUUGUUUGUGUAAAAGCAGGAGCAGUAAUAAUCCAGAUGCAUGCAUGGUUCAGGCAAGUGAAAAAAGAAAUGCAAAGUAAUCACGGUUAAACAGCGAGAGAAGUGGCGGGUCUAAGAUUUGUAAUCUGGCCUUAAAAGAUUCAUGAAUUGAUCAUCGAAAUUCAUGUGUGUAACCAACUAAAUAUGUACAGUUUUCUUUUUUUUAAAAAAACAAAAAGAAGAAGAAGAAGUGAGAUGUACUCAACAGUAGUCCACUUUGUUUUGCAGAAUUUUGUUUGGAAUUGGAUUGGAUGCUUUGUGUUUGCUUCCUUUUUAUUCAUUGAGCUUUUCCCUUGAGCAUGAAGACGCACUGCUCGAAUUUAGCAACUACUUUAAUCUGGAGAGACGGACUAGAAAAGCAUCUAUUCUGAGUGGUAGUACUACGUCGUAUCGGCUUUCUUGCACUGGGGACACUGCAAGCAGAGAAGCAUCUUCUGUAGGAUUGUCAGCUUUCACGUGCGGAUCGUACCGGGGCAGGAAUCUGAUCAUAAAGCAGGCAAAUUCCACAAAAUCCUAUCGGGACCUGACUGAUUCCUACGAAAUUUUAACAAAAAGAAGAAAAGGACGUUGAAAGGAGUACCGUGUAGCUGCUGCCUCUGCACCUGCAAUGCCGUGUGCUCGUUGUUCUGCACGUAGCAUUUUGACACGGACCGUCUUGACUGGGAAUGGGCGGCUGGCGUGUACACCGUAGCAGGCCGGGCAGGACAGGACACGGCGACAUUUUCGGAUUUUGACGUCGUGAGACGUAGACAUAUAGUAGAGCUAGCUAUUUAGGUCAGGUCGACCGACCUAAGUACUUGCGUAGUCGCAUCCAAGAACGAUCGAGAUCGAAAUGGCGCCGUCGUCGUCGUCGGCUCCGAUCCUCGUCAGCAGCCAUCAUCUUCUUCUUCAGUUCCCGGCGAGGGACGUCACCUACCUGGCCUGCCGCUUUCAAGCUCCAACCUAGCUAGAUUGCUCGAGAAGCUGUGUGCGUGCGUGUGUUAAUCUUCAAUCUCUUGUACCAAAAGGGCAACUAAGCUUUCAUCUGAUGAGACUAUGAGAGGUAGUUUUCCCUUUUGAGCAGGCACAGCCUAGUCGGCACCUCCUUUUUAUCGAUCCCUUUUGUGAUCUUUAGCAGCUGCCGUAAAUAAAGCACGCGCCAACCGUGAUGCAUCUACCCAUACUGCCGCGGCGGUUGAUGGUAGGGCGAUGGCAAACUGACCUGGAUGCCGUUGGGCGAGUUGGCGGCGGUGAGCACCUGCGCGCGGUCCGGCGUCUCCUCGACGUGCUCGGGGCGGAACACGCGCACGGUGGCGAGGUUGACCGUGGCGGGGGCGGCGCGCGCGAGGAGGGAGAGCUUGUAGGCGUCGGCGUCCAGCGGGCUGUGCAGGAACACGUCCACCGCGGCGGCGGAGGCGCCCGAUUGGUUCUGGUGGAGUACGUGGCGCGCGAUGGAGGGGCCGGUGAGCUCGAACCGGCGCGCGCCGCCGACGAGGCACACGGCGACCCGGGGAGCGGGCGGGGAUGAGGGGGGUCUGGAGGCGACGACGGUGGUGCGGGGGCGAGGCAGGGUUGAAGCAGGCACGGCGGCGAGGAGGAGCUGGAGGCGGAGCGUGGAGGGGAAGGAGAGCGCGGCGGCGAGGAAGAGGAGGAGCGGCGCCAGCACGGCGGCCAGGCGGCGGCCGCGGCGGGAGGGGAGGAGGCCGGGCGACGGCGGCGCGUCCGCGGCGGCCUUGCCCGGCUGCUUCAUGGCCGACACGACACGACACGCUAAGCAGGACGUACGUGGUCGGCGGGCACGCUGCUUGCUAGCGCGCGGCUAGGCUACUACGCCACACGGUGAUCACCGAGCAGUUGCCGCGCGCUCUCAUGGCGUGCGUGCGUGGUGGCGAGGGAGGAAGGAGAGGUAGGGGAGAGGUUACGAUGGAUGGGGACGCCGACGUGGGGGGUGGUGGACUGGGCCGGCGGGUGGUGCCGCGCGCGUUGUCCCGGCUGCUGCCGUGGCGGUUGCGAGCGAGGGAGGUCUCGUUUCACUCUUGGAGGGAAGAGGGGGAUGGUGCCUAGAUGAGGGGGGUCGAGGGGAUGGAUGACUUGGCCCAAUCCCAUAUUCCCAUCCCCUGCCGGGCUUUGCCACGACUCGUAACCAUCCUCGGUCGCUAAACCUGUUCUCUCCCAUGGUCAUGGACGUCCCAACAAGUAUACGUGUGCGUCUCGUACUGCUUUGAUCUCACGAGCAUCACGCCUUGGUAAAACUCUGCGAUUUUUAGCAUGCUUGCUUUUACGGAGUAUGUAUAUUUCUGUUUCAGGCAACUUUGUUCUUUUCUUUUUUUUAAAAAAAAAGACAUUUACUCGGCACCAGCGGUGAAGCUUUGGUCUGACCAUGACCAAGGCGCAAGCUUUGAGGUCGUGUUGUGCACUCCAUCUACCAAACUCUAAACGGAACAUGGUUUUUUUUUUUCGUCGGUAGCUGUGAAGCGUUUAGUCAGACGUCAGAGCUCCACGCCUCCACCAAGAUAAUGUUUCACAACUACAAGAAAUAAAAAAAUGUUGGUCUCAUCUCCCCUGCUCGGCUGCCGCAAACCCAACCCAAAGUAGGAUACGAAUUCCAUUAGUCAAUAGUAAUUGGUUGCAUGGAAAGUUCCAAGAUUACCGCUGGUUUCGGAGACAGCCCAUGAAUGCAAAGCAUGCAUGCUCUGAACAAGUCAGCCAUGCAACAUCUUGGACGCCCACGUAGCUGUUAAUUUUUUUUUCUUUUAAGCACCGGCGAACAGUUGGUUGAAGGGAUCUUUGGGAUAACGUAAUGAACACAUUGCAUAGUACAGUAUAUAAUAGUAUACAUGCCAUGUAUAGGGGGAGGAGUAUACACGCGCGUCGUGCGUUGUUCAUGCUCGUGCACGAAACAAAGAUCAACUCCAGGCUCCAUAUCGCUUGUUAAUUGGUUGAUGAUUCCAGCGAGGUGAUCUGCAACUACUUGCAGAUGAUUUGUUCAGUAAUGUAAUGGACCGGUGCAUGAUCGAGCUUUGUUAUUUUUUCCGACCUCUUAUUUGUUUCUUCUGAACUUUUUACACAACCCAACUCGUUAAUUUCUUCCACGGCGAUGACGAUCCCUCUUCUUAAUAUUUCUGGAAGCUGGUCUCUCUGUCAUCAUGAUAUAAUCUUUUUUUUAUGAUCGAUGACGGACCACCUCGUGGCCCAAAUCACAAGGACCGGCUAGCUCCCGGGCGGGGGACGGUCGCCUCCCUGAGCUGCGCACGGAAGGCCACCACGAAGUUGAACCAUUGGGGACGAGCUGGGUGGUCCAGUAGCCGUCGAGGCAUGUGCUGAUGAUCCAGGUCCGCGCCGCCGUCCAGCGCGGUCUCAUGGCCGCCGUGCACGCCCGGAACACGAGCGGCUCCUGCCGCGCGCCCGUCCGGCAGCGGGAACGCCGUCCGUUGAUAGCGCCGCCGCCGCCGAGCGCGUAUUGUGCAAGGGCUCCAGGAACUCGCGCUCGGAAGUUCCCGUCGACGAUCCCAGCAGCGCUUAGACUCUCCUGGUCGUUGGAUCUGCCUCGUGCGGUCUAGAUCGGCCUGAGUAGUUGCAGCAGGCGGCGACUAAGUCUCCACGGUACGUCUUCGCGCGCUGUGCCGCCGUCCGCCUUGUGCCCUUGUCGAUGCGCUGCGCCGGGCUCCAUCUCCAUCCAGAUCCAGCGAGGCGUCGCGCCGCCCGGCCAGGAACACGAAGGCAUCGCCGUGCCGGCUGCAGAGCUUCUCGUUGCCAGCAUACGGCUCCUACGCGUUCGCCGCCAUGGAACGCUUAGAUCGAUCCAUCAUCCCCAAUCCAAUCUAGUCCAACCUAGAACGCUGAUCGAAGAAUGGUUUUUUGUUCAGUUGGUGUGCCACCAUGCGUCGUAGCUUCCAAGAAACCCAGCGCCUGCUGUGCUCACUACCAAGUACCCAAACCAUGCUUUUGACAGUGACGGCACAAAAGAGAGUAGUACUACCUGCAGGCAGGGCUCGCAAAAUCAGUCAGGCGUCAAUGUUUUCAGGAAAAAAAAAAGAAGAAGAAAGGAUCGACCAAUCGAGGAGGCGUAAACUGAGCAGAAAGGAAGCUAGAUGGGGACGCAUGUCAGAUCGACCGAGAUGAGAUCAAUGUUGGUGUGAUGGGGCAACAGCCAGCAGCUGAACUGCCGCCCUUUUCUUCCCUCCAUCCAUGUCCAAAAAAGAAUGUGCAUCCAUUGGCAGCAACCUAGGUACAGCAAAGACCGAUGUGAUGCCUCAUCUGAUAUAUGAUUAUGUGCCGACCAAGACCAACACUGACCACCCACCCUUUAAUUUCUUGCAAACAGGCAUGAUAAAUUGACAUGUUACUGCCAGUCUAUCACACAAAAGCAAAACUGCUUGUUGGUAGGUUCACACGUGAAUUUUUGCAAACUUUUGAACUCGCCAAAGCAAGACUUGUUGGCAUGUUCACUGUGUUCCAACUCAGAAAAUAUAAAAAAUUCAACACAUGAUGAUGGUCACGUAUGCAUGUGCCACUGCAUUCUCUAUCCAUAUCAGAUACAAACUCUAGUGCUAACUGUACAAAUUUUGUACAGAAGAAUAUCUCAAGUAUGCAUAUAUUAUGUAUAUAUAUAUAUAUGCCUCUAUCCCAAUUGAUCCAGCUUUUCUCUGAUUGCCCCCUGGUUUUUUAUCCUGUCAAACUACCUCUGGCUAACACUAAGAGGGGGCAAACUGAAAAGAGAGCCAACUGUCACGGUCCCAACUCUCCUAUGGACUCAAGGUUGGUUAGUCCUGUCACCGUCCGACAACAGACUACGCCGAGCCGCCGGAGGUAGUCGCCUUCGCCGCCGGUGUCCGGGCUCUGAGCCCGAUCCGGCAAAUCUCGGCGGGGCUUGGCGCGUCCCAGCGC
rnacentral:lncRNA from 1 species